AUUUUAAAUUCUAGGAGGAAGUAAUUUUUGCGCAUAUCUUUGCCACAUUUUUUUUUUCCUACCCUUCAGUAAAUUAUAUCAUUAGGAUUAUUAAAGCUUUUGAAAGUACCACUCUCCUUUGUGGGAAAAAGGCUAAUUACUGAUUUGUCUGCCCUUAAAAUCUAAGAGUUGAUUCUAAUUGAGUGCUAGAUUAGGUAGUUAGCAAAAAGAACUGAAAUUUAACCUCAGCAUGUUACUAGAUCUAGCUCUCAUAUUUGAUUUUCAUUUUUCAAAUUAGAGCAUUUACUUACUUUUACCAGUAACUAUAUAUAUAGGGCUUCCCUGGUGGCUUAGACUGUAAAGAAUCUGCCUGCCAUGCGGGAGACCCAGGUUUGAUCCCUGGGUUGGGAAGAUCCCCUGGAGAAGGAAAUUGCAACCCUCUCCAGUAAUCUUACCUAGAGAAUGCCUGGACAGAGGAGCCUGGCAGGCUAUAUACAUACACGCACAUGUGUAUAUAUUUAAAGUCACUCUGGUGCUUAAUUAAUUAGGAUACAUCCCGUCAUGUAUUUUGAAUGUGUAUCCUACUAGUGUGAUGAUUAUUGUCAUAAAAGCAGAACAGAAGAAACAGUUGUCCAGUCAUUUUCUUUUUUUCCCAAUCAUUUUCAUUUGACAGUUACCAGAAAACCUUCUUAACUGGCCCUCAGUGAAUUUCUCUAGUUAAUGAAUUCAGAUUUUAAACUAUGUCCAUCAUUCUCUUAGCUGAAAAACAGUGGUGUGUUUAAAUAGUUUUAUUCAUGCAGCUCCCUAAAUAUUCAACCGGACAGAAGGAAAUGAAAGUAGGUGUCCUUCUCAGACAGGUAUUUGAGGAGAGAUUUGACCGAAGGCAGCAAGGGCCGUGUGAGCCAGGAUAGUGACGCCCCCACACACAACCAGACGGCAGAAGCAGGGGCUAUUAUCACCUGAAGGCACUUCCCUUCACUGUCUCCAGAAACAGGGAGGUUUUAGCACAGAAUGAACAGGAGUGGAGGAGGAUCCUGUGCUGCUCUGAGAUGGUGCCAUAUUAUGGCUAGAAUCUCAGAGCCUCAGUUCAAGACUGAUGUAGGACUUUGUAAAUGAGUAAAUGCUCCUGGUAAUAGUUGCUGUGAGUCUGUGUGGUCUAGUGAUGCCAUUCUGAAAGUGUUGAUUUCUGGUACCAACCAGCUUAGCUUUGGUUGCUGGAAGCACAGUAGGUACUGAUGGUUAUUUCCUGGAAAUCUUGACAGGCUUAUUGUACUGUGUAAUGGGGAAAAGUUAAAGUGUAAUGUUUGGUGUUAAUAAGUGACUGAUGUGAAAAUAGGAACAUGUGUCUAAAAUAUCAAAUAUGGCUUUAUUUGCAGUGAAGUCUAAAUUCUUUGUCCUGUAGUUGUAUUUUCUUGCUCUGUGUUGUAGCUUUUCUUAAAUAUAUUAUUUCUGACAGUAUCACUAGACGAGUUUUACACACUUAGAAUGUGUUUGACUUUAAGAGAGCAAUCCAGAAACUGUGUGAGAGUCUUCAUCUGGAAUUGCCAAAGUAAAUUAAAUAAAAUCAUGGUCUAGAAGAGAACAAACAUUCAUAAAUGGUGUUUUACCCCUACUGCUCAUUUUAAAGCUGUAUUUACAUGCAGUCUCCAAUGCUUAUAAAGUAUUUCAUUGUUUUUCUAGGUUCUUCUUUUAUUUAACUAGGAAAUUGUAGUUCAGAUUUUUCUUAAUGCCAGAUGACACAAGAGAUACAUUUUUUGCUUUAAAAAAGACGAUUUUUUUUAAAGCAUUAUUUUGGUAAUCAUUUAUCUAAAUGCAGUUAGAUUGAACUCCUCUUUGCUCACCACUUCCAUAUUGUGGGUGUUUUUUAAAAAUGUGGCUCAGAUGGUAAAGAAUCUGCCUACAAUGUAGGAGACCCAGGUUCGAUCCCUGGGUUGGAAAGACCCCCUGGAGAAGUACAUGGCUACCCACUCCAGUGUUCUCGCCUGGAGAAUCCCAUGAACAGAGAAGCCUGGUGGGCUACAGUCCAUGGGGUCACAAAGAGUUAGACACAGCUGAGGGACUAACACUUUCACUUUCACUUUUAAAAAUGUAUCAUGCUCUAUCUCGGCUCACUUCCUGUUACGUAUUAUAAAGGUUGGUAAUUGUCAUUCCUCAGACCUCUGUAUGUUAAAUUGGCAACCGUAAAUUGUUUUAAUGUUGUUACCAUUUAAAUUUUGCACUGUAUUAACAUGCCUCAUGUUUUCAGGGGACGUUUGAAAUAUCACUAAACAAGAGGAAUUUGCAUUUCACUGUGUAUUCAUUUUUUUUCCCCUCAUAAAAAUGGUUUCCAAAAAAAGUAACAUAUUGUCUGUUAGAUGAUCCCAAUCAGUUUCAAAGUACUCCUCUUACUCAAAACUACUCAAAAAUAAUUCAUGACAGCAUCAUUGUGACUCAUUGUCUCAAAAGGUCUUUGUAAUGGUCAAAUUUUUCCAAUUCACGAAAGAGUGGGAGAGUUGUUUUCAAUAUUGUUGUUGUUGAGUCGCUAAGUCGUGUCUAACUCUUUGCGACCCCAUGAACUGCAGUACCCCAGACUCUUCUGUCCUCCACUGUCUCCCAGAAUUUGAUAAAACUCAUGCCCAUCGAGUCGGUAAUGCCAUCCAACCAUCUCAUCCUCUGUUGUUUCCUUCUCUUCCUGCCUUCAAUCUUUCCCAGCAUCAGGGUCUUUUCCAAUAAGUUGGCUCUUUGCAUCAGGUGGCCAAAGUAUUGAAGCUUCAGCUUCAGCAUCAAUCCUUCCGAUGAAUAUUCAGGAUUGAUUUCCUUUUGGAUUGACUGGUUUGAUCUCCUUGCAAUCCAAGGGACUCUCAAGAGUCUUCUCCAGCACCACAAUUCAAAAACAACAACUCUUUGGCACUCAGCCUUCUUUAUUCUCAAUAUUUGGAAUGUUUAAAACCUUCUGUCACUUUGCAUGGCACCAUCCCAGCCCCUCUGUGUCUGCUGCUCCCAGAAUGUUCCGUGCCUUCUUUUCCAAUAGCAGUUACAAUCUUCAGUAUCGCAGACCCUGACUGGCAGCAUUGAACUAUUCCCCAGCUCUUCCCAGUUCACAUUUUCCAGCGUCAGGGGCUCCCUGGAUAAGCCUCAGACCCACUUGGGGAAGCAGAUGCUAGGUGUUAUUUGUCAGAAACUUUGCUAAACCAUGUAAACCAUCACUUCUCAGCCUUUUCCCUGAUGGCUCAGUGGUAAAGAAUCUGGUGCCAAUGCAGGAGACACAAGAGAUGCAGGUUCAAUCCCUAGAUCCUGAAGAUCCCCUAAGGAGGACAUGGCAACCCACUCCAGUAUUCUUGACUGAAAAAUUCCAUGGACAGAGGAGCCCAGUCGACUACAAUCCAUGGGGUCGCAAAGAGUCGGACAUAGCUGAAUGAGCACAGCACACAAAUCAUGUACACUCUUGCCCACGUCUUUUGUGAGAUGUGGUUGGCACUAAGGGACCAAUGAAAAGAAUUUUUAAAACAUUCUGUUGAGGAUUCAGACUCACAAAUGUAAAAAGAGCACUGUGCCCUCUCCAGGUAAGUUCACGGCCCCUACAAUGUACUGAGGCUGAAGGUAAAUCCUGGAACAGCAGACCAGUAGCGACCCGUAAAGUUGAAGGACACUGAUUGUUUUAAGAGGGGGGCGGGGAAAACCCUUUCCUAUAAGAAAGAAUCACUUCUAAAGUAUAUUGAGUGUAACAUUUUUCUAAAUCCUGUAGCUAUUAUGCCCCACCCCUGGGAAAGAGUGCUUAUGAGUUAUGUUGCUGUAACUAGUUUGAGCUCCUCUCCUAGGUCUCAAGGAAAUGAGGAUAGUGUUCAAGCAUCUGAAGUUACCAGAUGUUGAACAUAACUUGGCCAUUUAUAGACGAAAUCUCCAACAUUUGGAGGCAAUGGGUGAUUCAGUGACUAAGGGCCUCUGUCUCUAUACACCGAAGGAUCCAGGCCGGGUUUAGUUUUCAUUUUUUUUUAAACUUCACUCUCAUCACGCUAAGGUAGUGUUUGACUUAAAAGAGAUCAUUCCAGAAACUGUGUUAAAUUAGAGUCUUCAUCUGGAAUUACCAAAGUAAAUGAAAUAAAAUCAUGGUCUAAAAUAUGUAUUCUAGUGUAAUUUUUUCCCAAAUUACCAGAACAGGUAUCUGUUCAUUUUCAUUAUACAUUUAAUUGUUGAAAACCUACCUGCUAUACCCAUUAGGCACCCUUCACAGGAUAAUUACGGCUAAAAGAGAGGAGACCAGUCUUGGCCCCUGGAGCCUGCAUUUCAGAACUGGCUUGUUGUAAUGUCUGGUUUAAUUUUGUUUUGUUUGUUUUUUCACUCAGCAAGUGGGAAACCAUGAGUGUAAACAGACUCUUUCCUUUUCCUUUUUUACGCUUAAGGAAAAAAGAAAUGUAAUUUUAGCUCCCAUUUAGGUAGUAAAGGCUUCCCUGACAGACAGCGGUGCCUUUCCCUAGGCGAAGAGACUAGAACCAAAGGCUUUAGUCAGUCUUUGAACAUUCCUUUGACAAGUUUUUAUGUAUUUUUCAUGUGAAACCCAUAAAUGAACCUGGCAUGAUGAUCGUGACCUAGCCAGUAAACUUGCUUGCUUUUUUUGCAUUCAUCUUCUUAAAUAUAAGCUUCCCUUGUUUUACCUGGAGCCAUGCUAGAAACUGAAUUCCUGUGGGCCACUCCAUGGCUGCCUGCUGAUGUCCUGGAAACUUGGCAGCAUCAUUAGCAGUGCUCGCCUCAGAGGGAGAAGCUCGUGGAAUGUGUUGGGAGAGUUGAAUUUUACAUCCAAGUCAACAAACGUUUGAAAGAGUCCUGUAUGCCUCAGAUUUUGACACACACAAAAAAAUUAUUUUUUUCUGAGUACUAACUACAUAUUUGAUUUGGGGUGGGGUGGGGUGGGGGGCUGGCAGAGCAGGGAUUAGAAGUAAAAUCUGAACUAAAUGAUGUGGGCAUGACUUUAGGCCCCUGUGUAUGUGAGUCUGGAAACUGUCUUAUUCCAACACGCUACCUACCACCCUGAGUCUCUUAAGGAGCACACUGUAAAUGUGUAUAAGACUGAGAAAGAUGAUGUUAAAGACGUAAAUUAUUGUUUAGAUACUUUCUUCUUUGUUAACUCAGAAAUAAGCUUGUGGCUAGCACGAGAUGGCUACUAAAGACAUCAUUUGUAGGUUACUAGGAACAACCUUUCAAAUAUGUUUCAUUCCAACUUUUUGUAAAACUGGGGAAAGAACCUCCUAGUAAUGAAAAAACAAAACCAAUAAGAAACUUCCAUAAACACUUUCUAAAAGAGCUUGAAUGCUUAGUCAUUCUCCAGGCCAGAAUACUGGAGUGGGUCGCCUUUCCCUUCUCCAGGGGAUCUUGGCAUCAAUCUAACAUCUGCCCUAGAGUGUUUGCUUCUUGCCUAUAGUAUUUCAACAAUUUUUAUGGGAGAAAAAAAUGUACAUAUUUUAUUUCUUGGAAAAAUGAAUUGAAGUACUGAAUUAAAUUAUCAGAGGGGCCAAUUUAAAGAGACGCAUUGGUUUUUGAGACAAGCUCAUAGCUCUGUGGUCCGUUUCAGCAUUGACUUUACUGUGUGACCUUGAGCAAAUGAUUAAUUACUCUGUGCCUCAGUUUCUCCAUCUACAAAAUGGGGAUAAUGAUACCAACCAUUGCCUACCUCAUAGGGAUGUUAUGGGGACAAUUGAGACAAUAUAGAUAAAUACAAAUGCUUUGAACUCUGAAAGAAAGGUGCUAUAUAAAUUGAAAUUGUGUUGUUUUUGAUGAUCCAAUUGUUAUGUUUAGAGUUUAAAUAAUAGCAAUACUGUUAGUCAUGUUAAGAAUAAGUUUCAAUUUGAUGUAUAUUUACAAUUCUCUUCUGUGGCCAGAUAGCGAUCAUCAUCCAGUAAUGGUACUGAAAUUGGUAUUUGUUUUCUGUGUGUUUCUGCCCAUAGUAUUUCUAUUCUGAAUGUUCCCAAAAGGCUGGAGUUUAACUUGUCAUAUCUUGUAGUUUACAUGUAAUGAACCUUAUUCAAGCUGUAUAUAGAAGUAUAAUUACAUGUAAAUAGCAGGUACGUUGUAAUUCAAGGCACU
ensembl:lncRNA